GCACAAAAUUCGUGUAAGGGGGGGGGGGUGUCCCCUCAGCCCGGCCUGCAUCCUCUCGCAAUCCUGAACCGCUGGCUCCUAACCAUUCUCCUGCCUGCCUGAUCACCUCUAACCACUUUGCCUGCCUGCCUGAUCGCCCCUAACCACUCUGCUUGCCUGCCUGCCUGAUCGCCUCUAACUGCCUCUGCCUCAGCCUCAGCCCCCGCUGCCGCAGCUUCGUCUAGAACAGUGAUGGCGAACCUAUGACAUGCGUGUCAGAGGUGACAUGCAAACUCAUUUUUUUUGGUUGAUUUUUCUUUGUUAAAUGGCCUUUAAAUAUAUAAAAUAAAUAUCAAAAAUAUAAGUCUUUGUUUUACUAUGGUUGCAAAUAUCAAAAAAUUUCUAUAUGUGACACGGCACCAGAGUUAAGUUAGAGUUUUUCAAAAUGCUGACACGCCGAGCUCAAAAGGUUUGCCAUCACUGGUCUAGAAGGAUGUCUGGAAUGACGUCUGGAAGGUCGUUCAGAAGGUCGUUCAGCUGUCUGGUCUAAUUAGCAUAUUAUGCUUUUACUAGUGGCCCAGUGCACGAAAUUCGUGCAUGGAGGGGGGGGGGUGUGUCCCUCGGCCCGGCCUGCACCCUCUCCAAUCUGGGACCCCUGGAAGAAUGUCCUACUGCUGGUUUACAGGGAUUGGGUCUAAACCGGCAGUCGGACAUCCCUCUCAAAAUCCGGGACUGCUGGCUCCUAACCGCUCACCUGCCUGCUUGCCUGAUUGCCCCAACCACUCUGCCUGCCAGCCUGCUCACCCCCAACUGCUCCCCGCCGCUGGCCUGCUUGCCCCCAAAUGCCCCCCCACCAGCCUGACCACCCCCAACUGCCCCCUGUGCCAGUGUACUUACCCCCAACUGCUCACCGUGCCAGUGUGCUCACUCCCAACUGCCCCCCCUGCUGGCCUGUUUGCCCCCACCUUCCCUCCCCACUGGCUUGCUCGCCUCCAACUGCCCCCCUGCUGGCCUGCUCACUCCAAACUGCCCCCCCACAGUCCUGAUCACCCCCAACUGACUCCCACUGAUGGCCUGCUCGCCCCCCACCGGUCCCCCCCACCGGCCUGAUCACCCACAACUGCCGUCCCCUCUUGGCCUCUAACCUCCUCUACCUCGGCCCCACCACCAUGGCUUUGUCCAGAAGAACGUCGGGAAGGUCUCCUGGAAGGUCUCCCAGUCUAAUUAGCAUAUUACCCUUUUAUUAGUAUAGAGGCCUGGUGCACGGGUGGGGGCCAGCUGGUUUGCCCUGAAGGGUGUCCCGGAUCAGGGUGGGGGUUCCCUUGGGGCAUGGGGUGGCCUGGGCGAGGGGCCUGUGGUGGUUUGCAGGCUGGCCAUGCCCCCAUGGGGUGAGGGUCCCUGCUGGGGGCGUGGCCAGCCUGGGAGGGGCUGAGGGCUGUUUUCAAGCUGGCCACACCCCCUUCAGGGUGGGGGUUCCCACUGGGGUGCCUGGCCAGCCUGGGUGAGGGGCUGAGGGCCAUUUUCAGGCUGGCCACAACCCCUGGAGACCCAGACCCCCAGCCCCUCCUUCAGCAGCGGCCAGGGCAGGAGGGAAGCUUGGCUUCCUCUGUCACCAGGGGCAACCCAAGCCUCCAGCUCCAUGGCCACCGCCAUCUUUGUUGGGCUAAUUUGCGUACUUGCCCUGAUUGGCUGGUGGGUGUAGCAGAGGGAUGGUCAAUUUGCAUGUUUUCUUUUUAUUAGUGUAGAUUAUUAUAGAUGAAGUGGUGGUCUGUAUCUUGUCAUAACAAAGGAUAGUGAUUUCUUACUGAGGGUAAAAUACUGUGUUUAUAAACAAUAGCAUUCCCAAAGGCUCGGUAGUUGUUAUUUGUCUGUAUAAGUCUAAACUUUAUUUUUUGAUAUUUCUCCCAAGUUUUUAUUUUGAAAAAUUUCAGAUGACAGAAACAUUGCAAGAAUAGUACAAAAUACACCUGUACAUCCUUCACUUGGAUCACUUGUUAUCAAUAUAUAGCCACUUUUGCUUUUUCUUGCUUUCCCAAAGCACAGGCACACAAUGAAUGUAUGUACAUAAACAUUUGGUUUUUGCUAAAUCAUUUAAGAUUAAGCUAUAGAAUUAUGAUGAUUCAGCCAUAAAUACUUUAGCCAGUAUCUCCUAAGAGUAAGGAUAUAACUCAUUUGUCACACCCCAUUUAACAUUGAUAACAAUACUGAUACCUAAUAUAGAGUCUCUCUUUAAUUUUCCCCAGGUAUCCUAAUAAUGUGUCCUUUGUAGUUAUGUUUUUUAAAAUAACAGCUUUAUUAUGAUAUAAUUCACAUACCAUACAAUUCACCUUUUGAAGUGUACAAUUCAGCCCUGAGUAGUGGUUAGAGUGUGGGCCCAUGCACCAAAGGGUUGUGGGUUUGAUUCCGGGUCCCAGUAGGGGUGUAUGUGGGAGGCAACCAAUCGAUGUUUCUCACAUCAAUGUUUCUCUCUCCCCUGCUUCCUACCUGCCACUCUCUAAAAGGCAAUGGAAAAAAUAUCCUCUGGUGAGGAUUGACAGCAACAACAAAAAGUGUACAAUUCAGUGGGUUUUCCUAAAUUCAGAGUUGUGCUACCAUUGCCACAAAUCAGUUUUAAAACAGUUUUAUUACCCUAAGAGGAAACUCUAUGUGCCAUUAGCAGUCACUUCCCUUCCCUACCCUAACUUCUAGCCCUGGGCAACCACUAAUCUAUUUUCUGUCUCUCUAGAUUUUUUUCUUUCUGGGCAUUUCAUAUAAAUACAGUAAAACCUCAACGUAACGGACUAAUUCAGACGCGGGGUAUCUGUUAAAACUGAAAAUUCGUUAUAUAAUAGAGUAGGUUUUCCGAAUGCAUGUUAACAAAACUGACAAAUUAGUUUACCUGUUCUUACUGAUGUAGAUAAUUUGUGAAUUUAAAUUUAUGUAUGAAAAUUUUAAUUUCAUGUAGAAGUUUUCUAUAUGUAUUACAGCAAUUAAAAAUUUAUAUUGAAUAGAUCACUGCAAGUAAAUAAAUGCUAGAACAUUGGCUAGCAUGCAUUAAAACUGCUGCAGAAAGUCAUGCCAUGCAACAACAGAACCAAUUACCACUUGCAAUGUGGUGCGAUCGUGUGCUAAUCAUUUGCUGAACAUUGUUUACUAGCGGUGACUCUUGGAUAUAAAUAUGUAGACUGUAGUUGUAGAUGUGUAAUAUUUAAUUAUGUGAAAUUACUACAGUUUUUCCCAACAUUUGGCCUAUCUGCCUAAAUUUGUUGAAAAUAACAGUGAAUUAAUAACAAAUGAAAAUGACCUGUUAAUUUAAUUAUAAGCAAAUAUAGGUUAAAAGUAUUUUCAAAUUAACAGGGCAUUAAUUUUUGCAUAUGACGUGUGGACCAGAAAUUUUGUUUGUUAAAUCGAAAGUCUGUUAAAUUGAAGUCUGCAAAAUCGAGGGUUUACUGUAUAAUCAAUCAUACAAUAUGUGAUCUUUUGUAACUGAUUUCUCUCACUGUAAUGAUUUCAAGGUUCAUCUAUAUUGUAUUAUGUAUCAGUACUUCAUUCCUUUUAUGGCUGAAUAAUAUUAUAUGGAUAUACCACAUUUUCUUUAUCUCUUCAUCAGUUGAUGGAUAUUUAGGUUAUUGCCACUUUUGGCUAUUAUGAAUAAUGAAUGUUUUUAUGAAUGUUGGUAUACAAGUAUUUUUUUAUUUUUAGAUUUAUUGGGUCAACACUGGUUAACACAGUAAUACAGGUUUCAGGUGCACAGAUCUACAUCAGGUAUUUGAUGGACAUAGGGCAUAUAAUGAGUGGAAAUGCUGAGUCCUAUGGUAACUCCAUAUUUAACCUUUUUUAAAAAUUGAUUUUUAGAGAGAGGGAGGAAGAAAGAGAGAGAAACUGAUGAGAGAGAGAAACAUUGAUCGACUGCCAGUAUUUUGCAGAAUAUCCUUUAACUUGGAUUUGUCUAAUGGUCUCCUUAUAAUUGGAUCCAGGUUAAACAUUUUUGUCAGGAAUUCUUUAUAGAUAGUGUGUUUUCCUUAUUAUAUCAGUGGUAUAAUAAGGUACUCAAAACCAGUUUGUCCCAUUAUUGAUGAUUUGAAGUAGAUAAUUAAAAUGUGAGAUUUCUCCCUUGUAAAGAUACCCUUUCCCCUUUGUAAUUAACAAGUAAUCUGUGGGGUGAUAUUUGAGACUGGGAAUAUCCUAUUUUCAAUAGUUUUGCAUCCAGUGUUAGUGUUCAUUGAUGAUUCUUUGAAUAAUUUAUUUUCAUUUUUGGGGGAUAUGUUCUUUGUUAUUGAUUUUAGAGAGACGGGAAGAGAGGGAGAGGGAGAGAAACAUCCAUUGGCUAUCUCCUGCAUGCCCCUGACCAGGGUUCGAACCUGCACCCAGGCAUGUGGCCCGACCGGAAAUUGAACUGGCCACCCCUUGGUACGUGGGACGAUGUUCAACCAAUUGAGCCACAGCGGCUGGGCUCAGUCUUUUUUAUUUUAUUUUAUUGUUGACAGGAUUACAGAUGUCUCCCAUCCCCCACUCUACCUCCCCCUUCUGCCCAGUCCUUCCCUACCCCCCAGGUCUUCACCAACCUAUUGUUGUCUUUGGGUUAUGCAUAGAAGUAUACAAGUUCUUUGGUUUAUCUCUCCUUGUCCCCUGACCUGAGUCAUUUAUUUUUAAGAUGGUUUUAAAAAGUGACUUUCUAUUCUGUCAUUUCUUCUGCAAUGUUGAUAUUUUUCUGUGAAGAUGAGUACCCCCCUUUUAAAAAGUUUUAAUGUAAUUUUCUCAUUCAUUGUAAUAACCAUCUCUGUAGUUAUCAUUCUGAUGCUCAAAUUCAGCUCAAAUUUGGUUUCUGUGUCCUGUUGACAUGCCCCUGUCAGUCUCUGAGCAUUUCUUCACUUCCUGACACACAAGAUGCUUUCCAUGCUGACCUUACAUUGUCUCCAGCCCCGUUGCCUCUGGUUACGUUCAGGUGUGUUCUAUUCACAGAUCAGAUGCAUUUUCCUUCGCUGCCUGUUUUGUUUUUGCCCAAGUGGCAUUAUACAUUCUUAAUACUCACAGUCUGGAGAUUGUUCUCUGCUUUAUUUUUCUGCAUUGUGUUCCAUUUUAUGAACAUACCAUAGUUUAUUUAACUAGUCUCCUUUUGAUGGUUAGUUAGCCGUAUCUUUUUUGCUUUUAUAAGCACUCCUUUAAUGUAUAAUCUUUUUGUCAUUUUUUAUAUUACUGAAUAUAUUUGUAGGGUCAUUUCUAGAAGUGAGACUUCUAGAGAAUGUGCAUCCCCCAUUGUGAUAGCUAUUCCUCACUAAAGCGAUGGUGCUGAUGUAUGUUCCUGUCUAGCCAUGAGGGGAGUGCCUGCUCGCCCUCUUCUUUGCCAAUCUGGUAAGUGAUAAAAUUCCUUUGGUUUAAAGUGCCUUCCUAUUGAAAUUAGUGAUGUUGAAUAUCUUUCUUUUAUUUAAAAUUUAUUCUUACUUUAAAAAAUCUUUUUAUUUUUAAAGGUAAGUUUUAUUUCUUUUUUUGUCAACUGUCUACUCAUGUACUUUUCCCACUUGUGUCCAGGUCCUUUUGAUAGUGCCAUUAAUGUCUUUGGUCCAUCUGCUGCCUUCCUCAGGAACAGUCUCUGCUGACUUCUCUGAGCCAAACUUCCUCUGUUUGCAGGUUCCAGAAACUCAUUAGAACCAGCCUGUGCAGAAAGGGGGAUGUCCCAGAACCCAAGCGCAGUUGGGCCUCACAAGGAUUACCUUUGGGACCAGGUGAUUGUGACUUAAUAGUUUAAGCCCUUAUCUAUAAUACACCAGAAAUUACUCCGUGCAACUAUUUCAACUUACAAUGAAAGGUUUUAGUUGUUAAACUUGCAUAUGCACAAGGCUACACAAAAAUUUUCAAAAUUCUUUAGGGUGCACAAAAGUAAGAAAGGUUGCAAAUGGCUACUUUGACGUUCUUUCUUAUUCAUCAUUUGUUUUCUCUGUCAGCAGAUGCCUUUUCAGGUUCUAACUUUCCUUCUCCUUCCAGGCCCCUCAUCUAGAGUGACUUUGGUGUGAAGCUAUCAAUGUCAGCGUGAGGGUGGGAGUGACUUUUGUAAUGCUGGCGGGCGGGCUUUGAUUUAUAUACUUUUUCUCCUCUUUGUGAGUGUGGCUCUGGGCAGGCUGCCCGGCUUUCUGGCUCAUUGAUCUUCCAUAGCUAGAGGAUACACCAGGGGCAAUGGUGAUUGAUUGCUUAGAAAUUCAGAUACUAUCUGGUCCCCGUGAUUUAGUACAUUUAUUGGACAUUUGACUGCACAUAUCCUGGGUUGGAUCACUCUAAUCUAUCACCGAAGACUGCCCAUGGCGGGUUGGUUGAGAAGUGGGGCACUGUCCUUAGUGCUCCUCUCGCAGGAGCAUUGGCUGUCAUCCUUGGUUGUCUAGGGCCCCUCUGACUCAUGGUUGAAGGAGUCCCCUAAUGCUCUGCUGCUUUCAGAUAUUUAGUUAGUGCAAAAACACACACUACCAGGUGCCGGGGACCCAAAGAUGAGUCAGAUACCUUUGCCCUAUAAGCAAGCACUCUAUUUCAAAAUUAAAUAUUAUUUUUAAAAGUUAAAAAAAUAUCUUUAGGUCCUUUUUAGGGUGUCUCUCGUCUCUAAGGAUUAGUAAAUCAUUUGGUUAAGAACCUUUCUUGUUAUAGAGCAAUUUCACUGUUAUCCCUUGCCCUUCCCUUGGGGGAGCUCCUUGGGAUGGAUGGGGUUUGGUUACCUGAGGACAGGCUGCCGCUGGGUAGAUGUGGGCGGGGGAGUGUGGCUGUGGAUUCUCUUCUGGGAAACGGGCACCGUGGCUGUAGGGGGCGUGCCCUCAUGGUUGGGAGGGCAGCAACAGCUGACCUUGCUCUCAUGACUUGAACAGAGCAACUGGGGUGGCUCGGCCACCUUGCACGAUAGUGUUGGAGCAGGUGGGUCAUCCGCAGUCUCCUGUGCCGUCAGCAGCCGUCACUUGCGUGAGUUUCAUUAGGACUCUUGACUGGGGUAGCUCCAGGUGCACAGGUGCUGCAGGAUGUCUUGGAUAGACCGAAACCAGAUGCUGCUUAGUGCUCAGGGUCCGGAGUGUUAGAGCUGAUUUCCAGGAAAGCUGCUGCAGGUACUACUGGAAAAGGUCAGGCAGAGUGGCUGGGAAUAGCAUUCUUUAGAUAAUACUUCUUUCCUCGAGUGCUAACAGCCCUCCUGCAACAUCAUGCGUUUUCCUGCCCUGACCUUGCCUUUGACACGAAGCUUUGUCAUGGUCACGUGGCUGUACCUCAGGGCCAAAGUACAGGUCCUUCACAUUGCCCAGCAUGUGCUAGGUAGAUUAGACUCUUUGCCAACUUCAAAUAACAUUCUGAUGGAAGUUGGCUGAAGCUGCCCCAAGCUGUGGGAAAUGUUAGGGCAGCCUCCCAGUCAGCAGGAAAAAAGUUUUAGAAAGAAGCAGAAACUCAUUGCAAAAGGGCCUUGGUACGGCUACGAAAUGCAACUGACAAAAGCAGGAACCUUGGUCUCCAAAGGCAGAAAAGGAGUGAGGCAGAUACCUGGGGCCUGGGUGAAGUGCCAGAGUCAGCUCAGAAAAUAGGGGUCUUUCCUGAGGGCACCUAGUCAGGCAGGAUUGCUGAGCCAGGGCUCUUGACACAUUUCAGCACUGGGAAGGGGAGGGAGAGAAGGGGGAAGAAGGCAGGUAGGCAAGAGCAGAGUGGAGGCACUGGGGCAGGGGUCUGCUGGCCCUGGACUCACGUGGAGGGUCUGGUUGUACCAGGCUUAUGCCGAAGUUGUUGGAGAGAAUGGAGCCAGAGCCCAGGACUAUGGGAAAGUCCAAGGAAGGAGUCAGCUUGGUUGCCCGGCUCAGCCUCGGCCUCUGUCUUUAGAGAGGCUUGCGACAGGUUACAGAAAUUCCUGGCCACUGGCGAGGGUGGGGGAAAGAUGGAAAAUGUUCUAGAAUUGGUGAAUACCUGUCAGGCUCCGUGCCCAUCUUCCCCUCCCCCACCAUGCCCCUGCUUAGGCCACAAAACCCUCAUGUUAGAUAGCAGGUUAAUUGCAGCUGGAUGAGUUGAUGUUAACUUAAAGUUCAGUGGUGUUUAAUUAAAGCCAUCCAGAGACUAAAACUGCUCUCGGGAAAUUAUUUUGACCGAAUAAUUAAAGAGAAUGAAGGUUAGAAAUGUGUUUCUGGCUAUAUCCGUGUUGCAUUCUGCAUCUUCAAAACAUGAAUUUCAUUAACCUUUCAUGAACCAACAUUAAAUUGUUUUCAAUUGGUUGUCAUUCUAAUUAGAGUCACACAGAAGGGCCUUUGUUUAUACUUGGUGUCUGUUCCCUUUUCUCCUGGAUUCAUGUCCUCUUGAAGCAACAGUCAUUUGGAAAAUCGGUUUAUAUAUGUAUGUGUCUGCCCAUGUAUAUGUAUGUGUCUCCCUUAGUCGGACCCUGUUCAUUGAGUAUCAGGAAGUGCCGUGCCAGAGGAAGUAGGCCGCAACUGCAGCAGGAAGGCUGGGGCUUCCAAGGCCCCCACCCAGUGUUGGCUACAGGGACAGCCUGUGCAGAGGCAGGCUGCAGGACCCUGUGACCUCUCCCAGGAAGCAUUCUGGCUUGGUGGCUAUGUGGCCAUCAAGAAUGAAACGGGAUGACCAGGUUUCUAGUUAGAGUUCAUGAAGUUCUCAGUGACUCGUAUAGCAAGGUACAGAAACAAAGCUGUGGGACUCACUAAUUCUUCGAAGUGGAAUCUGGCAAAUGGUGCUUGGACAACUGGACAUUCACAUACAAAAAUUAACAAUAACAACUGCUGACAAGAUGUGGAGAAGCCAAACCCCAACUGCUGGUGGGAAUGUAAAUGGUGCAGACACUUUGGGAAACAGGCCGGCAGUUCCUCAAAAGGUUAAACACAGUUACCAUUUGACCUUGCAAUUCCACUUCAAGGUACAUACCCAAGAGAAAUGAAAACAUGCUUACUCAAAAACUUACACAUGCUUGUUUAUAGCAACAUUAUUUAUAAUAGCUGAAAAGUGGAAACAACUCAAAUGUCCAUCAAUUGAUGAAUGGAAAAACAAAAUGUGGUAUAUCCAUACAACAGCUCUUAUUCAGCCAUAAAAUGAAGUACUGAUCCAUGCUACAGUACGGAUGAAACUUGAAAUAUGCUAAAUGAAAAAGCCAGUCUCAAUGGAUCACAUAUUACAUGAUUCCAUUUAUAAGUACUAUCCAGAAUAGACCAUUACAGGAAGUAUAGAUUUUAGUGGUUGCUAUGGGGUAGAGGUGGGAGUGACUACGAAUGGGUGGAGGGUUUAUUUUUGGGGUGAUGAAAAUGUUCUGAAAUUAGUGAUGACAGAAGCACAACUGUGAAUAUACUAAAACCACUGAAUUGUGCACCUUAGGUGCACUUUUAAAGUGAGUGAUACCUCAAUAAAGCUGUUAUAAAAAUGCCUUUACAAAUUUAAAAGUUUCAGUUUUCACUUAGAGAAAAAAAAAAUGGACAGGCAAUCUGUCCAUUAUGUAAAACUAGAGGCCUGGUGCAUGAAAUUUG